CGCUCGGGAAGGAACCGCAAUACUGGUCAACGAAGCCUGUACGGAUUUUGUUAUUUACUUCCAUUUGACUUGUGGACUUCCUAUUUGGUUAGGAUUCUUUUCCUACAAGGAUGUGACAGCUGGUUUUGGGAAUUUCCUAGUUCCACAAGGAUCUUUAAUGAGCUGCAAUAUAAUCUACAAGUGUGGCAGUGAUUCAUUAAUGUUUCAGAAUCCUUUUCUUAUAAGGAUUCCUUAUUCAUCCUAGCUACACAAGGAAAGAA
rnacentral:lncRNA from 1 species